GCCGGGCCUGUGCCAGGUGAAGCGUUGUUCCGUUUCGGCGGUCAAUGUCGAAUCCGAGUUCGGUCCCGUGCCUUUUGGCCUCCCGCGGAACCGUCUUGCUGCGAGGCUCCGGGUGCGCCCGUCAGGGCGUCCGGAAGUCCUCUUCGGCCGCCAUUCAACGGUCAGCUCAGAACUGGCACGGACCGGGGGAAUCCGACUGUCUAAUUAAAACAAAGCAUUGCGAUGGCCCCUGCGGGUGUUGACGCAAUGUGAUUUCUGCCCAGUGCUCUGAAUGUCAACGUGAAGAAAUUCAAGCAAGCGCGGGUAAACGGCGGGAGUAACUAUGACUCUCUUAUGACCUGGUCGCAGUCUGCCUGGAUGUGUCUAAGGCCUUUGACACAGUUCCUCAUUCUAUCUUAGGACCAGCACUGCGAAUGAAGGGUCUUCCCGAGCAGGUGGUACGGCUUGUGGAAGACUCCUAUAAGGAUCUGCACACAGUCGUCAAACAGGGCACGGCGGAAGUGACCCUAAGUCUCCAGCGAGGGGUGAAACAAGGCGACCCCCUCAGCCCCUUCUUA
rnacentral:ncRNA from 1 species